GAUGAAGAACGUAGCGAAAUGCGAUACGUAAUGUGAAUUGCAGAUUUCAGUGAAUCAUCGAAUCUUUGAACGCACAUUGCGCCCCCUGGUAUUCCGGGGGGCAUGCCUGUUCGAGCGUCAUUUCACCACUCAAGCCUCGCUUGGUAUUGGGCAACGCGGUCCGCCGCGUGCCUCAAAUCGACCGGCUGGGUCUUCUGUCCCCUAAGCGUUGUGGAAACUUUCGCUAAAGGGUGUUCGGGAGGCUACGCCGUAAAACAACCCCAUUUCUAAGGUUGACCUCGGAUCAGGUAGGGAUACCCGCUGAACUUAAGCAUAUCAAUAAGCGGAGGA
rnacentral:misc_RNA from 1 species